rnacentral:rRNA from 1 species
CCUACGGGUGGCAGCAGUGGGGAAUAUUGCACAAUGGGCGAAACCCUGAUGCAGCGACGCCGCGUGAGUGAAGACGUCUUUCGGUAUGUAAAGCUCUUUCAGCAGGGAAGAAAAUGACGGUACCUGAUUAAUCAGCCCCGGCUAACUACGUGCCAGCAGCCGCGGUAAUACGUAGGGGGCAAGCGUUAUCCGGAGUUACUGGGUGUAAAGGGAGCGUAGACGGCAGGACAAGUCUGGAGUGAAAUGCCGGGGCUUAACCCGGGAACUGCUUUGGAAACUGGGCGGCUAGAGUGCAGGAGAGGUGAGUGGAAUUCCUGGUGUAGCGGUGAAAUGCGUAGAGAUUAGGAGGAACACCGGUGGCGAAGGCGGCUCACUGGACUGUAACUGACGUUGAGGCGCGAAAGCGUGGGGAGCAAACAGGAUUAGAUACCCUUGUAGUC